rnacentral:rRNA from 1 species
GGAAUUUUGGACAAUGGGCGCAAGCCUGAUCCAGCAAUGCCGCGUGAGUGAAGAAGGCCUUCGGGUUGUAAAGCUCUUUUGUCAGGGAAGAAACGGUGGACUCUAAUACAGAUCACUAAUGACGGUACCUGAAGAAUAAGCACCGGCUAACUACGUGCCAGCAGCCGCGGUAAUACGUAGGGUGCAAGCGUUAAUCGGAAUUACUGGGCGUAAAGCGUGCGCAGGCGGUUUGGUAAGACAGAUGUGAAAUCCCCGGGCUCAACCUGGGAAUUGCAUUUGUGACUGCCCGGCUAGAGUGUGUCAGAGGGGGGUAGAAUUCCACGUGUAGCAGUGAAAUGCGUAGAGAUGUGGAGGAAUACCGAUGGCGAAGGCAGCCCCCUGGGAUAACACUGACGCUCAUGCACGAAAGCGUGGGGAGCAAACAGGAUUAGAUACCCUGG